AAAAAGCCAGAAGGAGAACACUAGCCUUGAGCAUAUAAGCUCAAAGAGAAGGCCUAUGCCUUGAGUUCAAGUCCUAGAACAGGCACACACACAAAUCCUUCCUAUGGGUUCUUUCUUCUCUUGGGCUUUGCAUGCAGGCCAGGAAGCAUGGCUGUGUAGAUUCAGAACCACUGCUGCCUCUGUGGGCACCAACGAUGCCCCUUGAGCAAGGCCCUUAGACCCCUUAAGCUUUUCCAUUGUUCUUGGGCCAGCUGCAGGCUCUGCUCAUCACCCCUCAACACCUGUGGCUUUCUUCACAGGACAAAAAGAGAGCU